GGGGGGGCAAGCGUUGUUCGGAAUUACUGGGCGUAAAGGGCUCGUAGGCGGCCAACUAAGUCAAACGUGAAAUCCCUCGGCUUAACCGGGGAACUGCGCUUGAUACUGGAUGGCUUGAGAUUGGGAGAGGGAUGCGGAAUUCCAGGUGUAGCGGUGAAAUGCGUAGAUAUCUGGAGGAACACCGGUGGCGAAGGCGGCAUCCUGGACCAACACUGACGCUGAGUGAGCGAAAGCCAGGGGAGCAAACGGGAUUAGAUACCCCGGUAGUCCUGGCCCUAAACGAUGAAUGCUUGGUGUGGCGGGUAUCGAUCCCUGCCGUGCCGAAGCUAACGCAUUAAGCAUUCCGCCUGGGGAGUACGGUCGCAAGGCUG
rnacentral:rRNA from 1 species